UUAGUUCAUUGACACGCACAGAAGAAGGCGAGUUUCUACGGAGGUUUACUUACAUCCAUUUACGUUAUAAGCACUAAGCAAUCCCUUAACUUUAUGAAGUUCUGCACCAAGGCAAGGUUUCCUGUCAGAGCUUUCAGUUUGUGCCUCCAAGUUGUCCUCCAAAGUGGUGGUGCAAGAUUAUUGGGCUAACUCUGUUUUCCUAAACUCUUUUAAAAUCGUUACUAGCUUGGAAGGAGAUGUAUUGAAAAUUCUUAAUGGCUUUCACAAUACAGCAAGCCAAGAUUUUCUCCUUAUUUUAUUGUCAAUAUUGGGGAUUUGGUUUCUCCAAAGCAACUGUUAGCCAUCUAGUCUGAGAUCUUUGGAUGAUAAUCAUGAUAUGGAAUGGAAAAAAGCAAUCUAAGAUGAAGCCUGUGUUGAAUUGAACUUUUAAGAUUUUAGUCUCAGAUGGUGUUGGUCUUUUUAGUGCCAGCCAAGCUGAGAUGUUCCACUAGAGUU
rnacentral:lncRNA from 1 species